GACGAACGCUGGCGGCGUGCCUAAUACAUGCAAGUCGAACGCAGUGGGGCCGGGUGAGUAACCCGUGGGUAACCUCCCAUCAGAGGAGAUAACACUUGGAAACAGGUGCUAAACCAAUAGCGAUGGAUGGACCAGCGGUGCAUUAGCUAGUGGGUGAGGUAAAGGCUCACCAAGGCCACGAUGCAUAGCCGACCUGAGAGGGUGAUCGGCCACACUGGGACUGAGACACGGCCCAGACUCCUACGGGAGGCAGCAGUAGGGAAUCUUCGGCAAUGGACGAAAGUCUGACCGAGCAACGCCGCGUGAGUGAAGAAGGUUUUCGGAUCGUAAAACUCUGUUGUUAGGGAAGCGGUAUCUAAUCAGAAAGCCACGGCUAACUACGUGCCAGCAGCCGCGGUAAUAC
rnacentral:rRNA from 1 species